ACCUGGAAUUCCUAGAGAGUCUUGUGUCUGGGUUCUUGGACUUUGUCAAAUUCAUAGGGGUGGCCGUGGAAGAGCCCUUUCUGUUUACAAAGGACCCACAUUUUUGUUAUCUGGACUGGGGAGCAAACCUCCUGCUGCUUGUACACACUAGUAUCACAGAGAACGGUGAACUGCAAGCAAUAUGGGGAAACUGCUGACAUUCGGUGUGGUAGUAGCAGCCCUCCUAGGAUUUCUGGGCGAACGGUUUUUAAAUUACAGGUCGAAGAUGCUUUAUGACAGAGAAGUAGAAAAUAUAGAACUGCCUAACUGUCGAUUACUCAAAGGCAUCGACUAUGGGUCUGAGGACGUUGUGAUCCUUCCCAAUGGCCUAGCAUUCAUUAGCUCUGGCUUGAAGUUUCCAUUACUGCCAAGUUUUGCUCCAGACAGGCCAGGAGAAAUUUUUCUGCUGGAUCUCAAUGAAAAUGAUCCAAAGCCGGUGGUACUACGGAUCAGUCGUGGAUUUGAUUUGACUUCAUUUAAUCCCCACGGAAUGAGUGUGCAUAUAGAUGAAACUGAUAAUGUGGUGUACCUCUUUGUUGUGAAUCACCCAAAUCAUGGCAGUACAGUAGAAAUUUUCAAGUUUGACGAGGAAAACAAUUCUUUAUUGCACCUUAAAACCAUCACGCAUGAUCUCUUGCCAAGUAUAAACGAUAUUGUAGCACUUGGACCAGACAGCUUUUAUGCCACUGUUGACUUUUACUUCCGUGCCACUACCAUGAAAGUCAUUGAGAAAUUAUUGUAUUUGCCAUGGUCCUCUGUUGUGUACUAUAGUCCUACAGAAGUAAAGGAAGUAGCAUCUGGAUUUUAUUUUACCAAUGGAAUCAACAUCUCUCCUGCCAGAAAGUACAUUUAUUUUGUUGAUAUUGCUGAUCGUGCUCUACACGUUAUGGAGAAACAUGACAAUAACAGUUUAACUCCAGUGAAGGUACUGACAGUGGAGACAUUGGCAGAUAAUCUAGAUGUUGAUCCAAUCACAGGAGACCUGUGGGCUGGCUGCCAUCCUAAUGGCUGGAAACUUUUUGUGUAUGAUCCUGAAAAUCUUCCUGGGUCAGAGGUGAUCCGCAUCCAGAACAUUCUAUCUGAUGAGCCAGUUGUGACUCAGGUGUAUGCCAACAAUGGCUCUGUUCUUCAAGGCUCCUCAGUUGCGGCAGUAUAUGAAGGGAAACUGAUUGUAGGCACGGUCUUUCAUAAAGCUCUCUUAUGUGACCUGAAUGAACCAGUACAGGAUACGGAAUAGAGAAUUCAGCAGCAACAGUCAUCAUGUCUCUUAACCGUCCCUCUCAAGUGUAUCUCAUUACAAAGAACAUACUUCAUUUGGGAUCUUAAAAAAUUCAUGUUCCUCAAAGUUCCCCAUUGAAAGGCAAAUCUAUAAAUAGUACCCACCUUCUGCAGUUCUCACCCUGUAUCUGUGUGUUGAGACAGGAGUACAGCUGUAUCAUUGUCUUUAACUAUGCAGUUAUUCGACCAUUGUGUCAAUGAUGUAAAUAGACCUCAAAUAUUCUGGAGUUUGCAUAUCUUCAUCUCUAUGUAAUUAUGGACAGCAUUUUGCUUGGGAAGCCCUUAUGAGGUCCAACGGUGGUGUUCUAAUUUCAUAUAGCCAAUCUCUGACACCUAAUGAAACCUUCUGCCCAGGGAUGAAGUACUGUAAUCACCUCCAGGCAACGUGCACAGCUUCAAGUAAUCACCUCCAGGCAACGUGCACAGCUUCAAGUAAUCACCUCCAGGCAACGUGCACAGCUUCAAGUAAUCACCUCCAGGCAACGUGCACAGCUUCAAGACACCAAGAGAGGCUUCCCUGGAAUGUACUUGAUUUUGGAUUUCCUAAACCUCAGUGGAUUUUUGUUAGGGUACACUGGUUGCACUAACCCAGCAUCACAAAUCCUGACAGAACCUUGUUUUACAACAAAAACAAUCUGUGGAGGAAAAAAAAUAUCUAAAGGGAAUGUUGAGGUGCUUUGAGUUCAUAGUUCAUGGUAUAGUACAAUGUCUGCACAUUUAUUUGUAUCCAAUUGUAUCCUGACUCACAAGUGAAAAAUCAUAUAAAAUAGUGUGACAGUUUAAGACUCAAUUUUUUAUUAAUUCUGCUGAACUCUUAAAUGUAACUUUUAUUGUGGUAUAGUUAUACCUUCUUUAUUAUACACAGGUAAAGUGCAACUUGUAUAUAUUAGUACUCAUUGUUAUACCCAGUUUCACUCAGUAUAUUGCAGAAUAUUUAAUUCACUCUAGUGUCCCAGUGUUCUACAGGAAGGUUCUGAAGAGGUUAAUGUCAGUACGGGUAAAACAGUGGUGAAAAGAAAGGGGUUAAAAUCAUACAUAUCACAGGAUAUGUGUUCUUUAUUGAGUAUCAUCUUCAACAAUCCCUAACUAUGGAGCUGGCAAGAGAAGGAAUAUAUAAUUCUCAUGUACACACUUAAAAUUACAAGGAAAAAAAUAGAAUAUGUUGCACAUCCAUUUAACAUUAUCUGGGAGGUAUAAAUGUUCCACAUGAAACAGGCCAUUUAAAAUCCUUGGGAUGGAGGUUGCUAUACUGGGUUGCUGCAGAAACAGUGAUGGAUCAGAGUUUCAGCUUGGAUAACAGACAGACUACCUGUAGGACAUGUAUUUGGGAGCUGGUGGCUGAUGCAGUUGCACUUUGCAGAUCUAUGCACACAUUUGAAAAAUGAAGUUGAAUACUGAGUUGCACUUAAAAGACGUAUGUACACAUUAUGUUGAGGAUAAAACUGAAAUAAAUGUGUUUAUCGCCAGGAGCUUGUUAAAAAUCUGAUAAAGGUGGUUUAUAAUGUAGUAGCAGCAUACAGUGGAGGUAGAUAUGGUAAUCCAGUAAGAUCUGAACAAGUCUUGUAUUACCUGAAACUGAUAAAUUGAGUCAAUCUGUAACACUUCUGUAGCUAUGAAUAAUACAUUGUUCUUUUGCUGUGUAAUGGCAAAACUAAGACAUACCGCACUAUUUUCUUUAGUUUCUAGACUUCUGAAUUGACUUCUGAGGAUUUAAGCUAUUUGAUAUUUAAACUGACUUCUGUCUCAAUCUUCUUGGUAUCUAAACUGAAUUCUGUCUUGCAAGUAUUUCUCUUAAUACUAGAGCCCUGUAAACUUCCUACAAAUUUUACAUGCCUCCUUAACUGUCUUUGUGUCAAAUGUUCUGCACAUUCUGUUAGCGAGUCUCAUCCUGAUCGAUGCUUUAUUCACACGGUCAUUUCACUGAGCUCAUUUGUAUUUUUCACUGAAACAUUCAUUUCUGUUGAAACUGCACAUAAAAUGUGAAAUAUAAAAUGAAGAUAUAGUCCUUUAAUGGCUGCAUUUCUAGAUCUGUGACAAGAGAAUACUGUAUUUAUGUAGGAUUUUUUUCUGACAAAGCUAUAUUUAUGCAAGUCCUUAUCUUACACUGAGCCUUUUCUGGACUUGGAACAUAUUUAUGAAAUUUAGUUGGCCACAGUGGGUACUAUAUUUCAUCCCAAGGUGUCCAGUUUCUAAAGUUAAUAACUGAAUGUAACAGUUGAAUUGUUUAAUUUUGUUUGAAAGAUGUAACUGUGAAAUUUGCUGUUUUUGAAAGUUAGAUGGCCUUUAAUGCAUUGUUACAGGUUUGGUGCCUGUCCUAUAAUCUACACAUCAUACCCACAGAAUGGAGGUAUCCAACAAUAAGGACGUCCAUCUGCAUCUGAUGAUAUAUAGCUGCUGUUCUCUCAAAAAAAUGAUAAACGUUUGAUUAAAAAAUGCUGUAGACCAGAUGUUUUGUAAUCAUACCAUGAAUCUUUUUUUUUCUUUGAAUAAAUGUUUUGAGUAAA